CUGAACCGCUGCAGGCCACACUGAAGAACUGCCCUCUGGUUGUCACAUUGCUCCCCGGGGUGCAUUCUUCGUCCCCAAAUCUCUGAAGAGCACAGCUCUGUACCCUGAAGGCUGGCAGGACUUACUUAGGAAAACUAUCGCUUUGAGGCCCACACAGCCUAGAAAAACACGAUGAACUUGGUGACCAGAUGAUACCAUUUAACAUAUGAUUCUACAGCAGAACCUCCGACUAUGAACAUCCUAUUGCGAAUAUCCUAUACAGAAUCAGGCAUAAGGGUCAGCUUUGGAAAGACUCGGCUUUGACCUGCUUACGUACCACUCACUCCCUCGGUUCCCCGAAACACCUCUCCCAGAAGCUCCAGAUCAGUUGCUGGGUGUUAAAUGAGAUCCAAAACAUCAGGCCCAGAGCACAGUGACUGCCUGAGCAGGACCAAGUGACUGAGAAAAGAA